ACAUAGUGUUUUCAACUUUAUUUUUCUCACUUUUAGAUUUUGGUAGUUGUUACCUAUCUCAUGAUUCAGCCAACAAUAUUGCAGCUAUAAAUGUCACGCUGCCAACUGAAAUAAAGGUAUUGCCUGCAAGGAACCUUUUUGCCAGAGAUGCCAAAAGGAACCAAAUGUGGUAGUGUAGAGAGAAGGCAAAAUGUGUGGUGUUGUGGUAAGCAUGUGAUGCUGUUUGAAGCCUCAGGCAGGACAGUAUGAAGGGAGGUUGUCAUGGGAACAGUUUUGGUGCCCAAGAUUUUCUGGGUUGCUUAGGGCGGUCCAACUGACCAUAAAGGACAGAAAUUGUUUUAGUGGCAAGUCUUUCCACAUGUUAAACAGAUUCUAAGGCCAUUUUGAGACUACUGCUUAUUUAAAUAGUCUGCCAGGAAAUGUAUCUGCACUCGGAUGAAGAUGUCUGUAAACAUCUGCACCAAGAUUUUUAAGACCAAUACUGUAGUUGAAGACAUUCCAGAAGUAGACACCUAUUCAUUUUAAGCUGCCUCAGUAUGUGUAUUAUUGGUAUGUACUGCUGCACAUAGACUGUAAUACUGGAGAACUGCAAUAUAUACAGUGAGCAACAUGGCAGUGUUUAAAAAAUUCCUUUCACAAAUGAAAAUCCUAUUUUGUAAGUAGGCAGCCUAUGUCUCUCAUCCUGUAAUGUUUUUAGGGACACCUGCCUGAGUGAUACGAACAAUAUCUGCUUGAAGCUGAUCUUUCACACGGAAGAUAAAGAAAUUGGUUGUUCAAUUUUUGCAGUUGUGAGAACUCUAGAUAUUCUUUUUAAUUUCUAAUCUGUUUUGUUUGUCUAUAAUUCACUGCAUCUUGGCAGGUUGAAGCUGUAAUAUAACAUCUUUUCCUUUCCGUGAUUUCUGUGAGAAGCCCUUGCUUUUCUGGUAUGGCAUUAAUAUUACUGUGCAGAUUGAAGAAUGAUCUAUUGCCCAGGCUAUGCAGCAAAUAGAGCUGACUAUUUUAUGUGACUGGUAUGUAUUUCAGAUGGUAGCUAAAAUGGGGGGAUAACAAUUGUCUUAAACUCCACCAAAGUUGAUUCAGUUCACCUUCUAUUUCAUCUGUGACUUUCAGAAAACUUCUACACCAUCUGACCUUGUCUAUAUAUCUCCCAGGAUCAGGCAUUGAAAUUCCUGGAUGAGAUCCAAUGGUGAUGCAAUUUGUUUGUGUCGGUUCUGUGCUCCUUUGUACUCAUGACUGCUGCAAGAUGAACUUACAAUCAUGAUGCCAUGUGAUCUGAUGAUUAUGGAAUUAAACGGUCUUAGAAGCUCUUUUACAAAAA